GAUGAACGCUGGCGGCGUGCCUAAUACAUGCAAGUCGAGCGAACGGACGAGAAGCUUGCUUCUCUGAUGUUAGCGGCGGACGGGUGAGUAACACGUGGAUAACCUACCUAUAAGACUGGGAUAACUUCGGGAAACCGUAGCUAAUACCGGAUAAUAUUUUGAACCGCAUGGUUCAAAAGUGAAAGACGGUCUUGCUGUCACUUAUAGAUGGAUCCGCGCUGCAUUAGCUAGUUGGUAAGGUAACGGCUUACCAAGGUAACGAUGCAUAGCCGACCUGAGAGGGUGAUCGGCCACACUGGAACUGAGACACGGUCCAGACUCCUACGGGAGGCAGCAGUAGGGAAUCUUCCGCAAUGGGCGAAAGCCUGACGGAGCAACGCCGCGUGAGAGAUGAAGGUCUUCGGAUCGUAAAACUCUGUUAUUAGGGAAGAACAUAUGUGUAAGUAACUGUGCACAUCUUGACGGUACCUAAUCAGAAAGCCACGGCUAACUACGUG
rnacentral:rRNA from 1 species